GGGCCCUGGAGGAGGCUGCUGAGGCAGGCUGUGUGACACCAGGCCCUGGAGAGGUUCAGGAGAGGGCAUGGCAUGUCUGCCAUGGGUUAGACAUCAAAUGCCUGGAGGCAGGUGCAGAGCACCUCCAAUCUCUUUCAACUCAAGGACUCAGUGUGCAGCACGAAGAACCUCUGCUCUAUCAUUUCACCGCAAAAUUUGAAUAGAGCAACUGAGAAAACAUCUUCUGAGAUUUGGGAAGUUCUCACAUAAUGUGGUUUUGUACCAGUCUUUAAAACCUUCCAGCUACACUGGCCACACUAUAAUUUCAAAUUAAUCUCUCACUGCUCUAGCUCUAUGGCCAUCUUCUUCCUCUGGACCAUUUAAUCGGAAUCUAGAAAAUCCUACCCAGAGAAAGCAGAAAAGAGAGGACAAGAAUCUCCAUUUCUUUGGGUCCAUCACCUGAUGGUCAUCUGAUUUUCUGGUGGAUCAAGGAUCUGAGCGGGUCCUCGGAGAGCAAUACUCAUUGCAACCAAGACCAUUUUCAUGUUAAUCCCCGAGAGAGAGCUGCAGAGACAGACCUGACACUUGGGCCAUCAUAGUGACCUGGCUUCCAUCCAUGACUUUGAGAUCAGAGAGGCCCUGCAGGAAGAUGGGUGCAUUGGGCUUGCUGGGAGCCACAGGCAGAAGAUGCAGCUGUUGAGAAGGGGAGGGUUAGGAUAUUUCUAACUUAAACCCUAAGUUUCUGGGGAAAGCACCGCCGGCAUUUUGGGUUUUUAUCAACACAGGACCACAAAUACUAGACCUUCUUCAGGAAGCGGAGCCAUGGGGAGGUUUCCACGCACUCCCUAUUCCUGCCUCUCUGCAAUCUCAGCGAGUCCCCAGCCUUACAGAGCUCCGUGCAGAUGGGCUCAAAUUCCUAGGUGCUACCGAAACGUCACCAACUCCAGCGCACUCCCCUUUAAGCCUGUGGCAGUCUUCUCUUCAACCCCACCUUCUCUGGGUUCUUCCCACCGCCCCUGUUUCCUGGGGAUUUGGCAAAGCCAAGCCACCCUGUGGGUCUCAGCCAUUGGGAACUAAAAGCCUAUCUUCCCCUCCCUCCCCUGGGAGCUCAGAAGUAUGCAUGAAAGGGUGGCCUGGGAGCUGCCUCCCACCUGGCAGCUCACUGGUUCCACCUGCAGCCGUGGAGGGGAUCCUGGCCUCAGGCAAGUCUGCCUCCGUCUGAAGCCCCGCUUCCUCAUCGGUCUCUAGGGGGAGUCGUGGUAUCAUCACAGGACUUUGGGUAGUUUUAAAGAGAUAAUAGGUAAAAAUACUUUGUACAACCAUUCAUUAUCAAUGAGAAUAUUUGUAUGAGCCUAGCAUGAGAACUGACUCACAUCUAUCCACUUGGGCUCAAUUACUCGAUGGGUUUAUCAGCAGCCAAAGAACAAAUGGAGUCUGGGCCUCACCCAAGGAUUAUGGACUCAUAUUUAUACAACCUGAGGCAAAUACUGUUAGGAAUACAAAUGCAUUGCUUAAAAAUAUCAUGGUAUAUAUCUCAAAGUAAUUGAGGACAAGUUUUCAUUGCACCCCCUCCAGGAGAUGACUGAGUGAACUUGGGAGGAACAGCUGAUAUUUAGUUCUGGUGUCACUCAUUGCCUCUGGCCCUGUGUUUUGUUCCCCAAAGCCCUACAGCAAGAUUGAAGGGAAUAUGGAAAUGAUUGGGAGUGAAUGUUCAGAAGGAGCCUGUUCUCAGACCGGCAAGGUGGGACCCAGUUCCAACUCACCACUCCACUGUACUGGUGUAGAGACCAGAAUAGAAUUAAGGGGAAGUGACUUGGCUAAAAUCAUGGGGCCAGUGUGGGCAGACCCAGAGCCUUCUGGCGACAAGGCUGGGAUGUUACGUAGGCAUCUCUUCAAAGGGAACCAGUCUCCACCAAUGGUGCCCAUGGUGACCGCUCCAGGACAAACACACUGUCAGCUGACCCACAUCCUAGAUCCUUGACAACUGAGAAAAACUAAAGCAGAACAGAGACAAGCCAGGUGAAAAGGGCAACACGUGUGUGUGUGAGUGUGUGUGUGUAUUUCAAUUCAUUCCAAAGCCAAACAAAUUAUUCUAGCUCAUCUCUGGCCUCUAGACUCUAUCAGUUUCUGCUCACUCUUCUGUGGACUUAGGAAAAAUACAAAGGGACAGAUGGAAACUGCCAUUCUUAACUCAUGGCCCUGGCUGUGUGAUCUGAAGCAACCUUCCCAAAGCAAGCCUUGGUGUUCUCUCCUCCAAACUUAUGGCAACAUAAUACUGAAAAGUGUGAUGUCUACAUCAUCAGUCUAAUGCAUGGUAAUAUUGCAGGGUUUUACAUGAUUCAAAAAUAACAAUAUAAAACAGCUAGAACAAUACAUGGCAUACAAGAAGUAUAAAAAAAUCAAUGUUUUCUGACUUUCCCAACCCAACUGACUCCUUUGGUUGUGGAAAUUCAACCUGAUAAUAACUGCAAUGAGAAAAACCCCCCAAACCAGAACUUUCGUGUAACAAUGAUUCCUUAUAAAGCCCAGUGCUCCAGGAUUCUAAAAGAUGUUCACAGCUCAUUCAGUGUUAUCCUCAACAUCUCAGAAAUAUUGGGCAGAUUGUGUCUGUUUUACAGUGGAGGGAGCUGAGACUCAGAGAAAGAAGCUCACCUGUCCUAAGGUCCCGGGGCUGCGAUGCCCCACGAGGAGGGGGAUGCUACUGGCAGGGUCCUGGUCUGAGUGCUUUCCCUUGACUGUCCUGGGAGCAGAGGCAGGUCUCCUCAUUUCUGCGAGGAGCUUUCUGUCAUCAUUCACAUCCAUGUCCAGAGCUACCCGUUACCCUGGGAGUCACUCAUCUCUGCUUGUCCUUUGGCCUCCUUCUAGCAUCAUCCUGGUUUAAGGACCAGGGUCUGAGGCAAGAGGCCCCCGGUGGCAAGGUUGUCUCAGAGAGCCCAAGCCUUCUUCAUCUUGGGAGGACACACACUGGCCAUGGCACACAAAUAGCAAGGGAUGCUUUGCUGGGACCUGCCCAGCUCAAAUGGGGCCACACUAAAUAUACCCUGGGUUUCCCCACAGCUGUGCCUCCUGCUGCUCUACUGAGACUGAGCCCAGAGAGGGCCUUCUUUCUGGAGUGCAGAAAGGGCUGAGUCUCCUUGUUUUCCUUGCCUAGGAUUAAGGAUCUAAAGCGUAUAUUUCUGUUGCUCUGUUACUUGGUAUUAGCCAAUUCAUUCACAGACUCAGUCAUUAAACUGCCACUGUCCCAUUUUGACAGAAUGGAAAAGGAUUGAUCCGGCUAUCCUCCAAUGGGAAAGACAAGCACAAUGACUAAGAAUAAGCCAAAGCAGAUGCUGACAAGUAAAAAUGAUGCCAUGUAGACAAAGCUGUUAAUAGGACUUAAGAAAGAGCAAGAAUGGGAGAAAGGGAAGAACAGAGAGAAGAGAGAGAGAAUGUGAGGAAAAGAGAGGGGGAAAAGGGAAGCAAAGGAAGGUGGAGAGAAUGAGAGACAGACAGAUAUAUGCACUCUGCCCUUUAUGAUUCUACUGACCCAUGGAUUUUUUCCAUCCUUGCCAUUUUGGCUGUUUUUGACUCAUUAGAAGUUGUUUUUGAAGCCAGUUCCUAGUCAUGAAACUAUACAUGAAAUGAUUGCUCUGGUGAAGCAAAGUCAUCAAAUAAAUGACCUAUCAGGAUCCCAG
rnacentral:lncRNA from 10 species